AUUGAACGCUGGCGGCAGGCUUAACACAUGCAAGUCGAGCGGGGGAAGGUAGCUUGCUACCGGACCUAGCGGCGGACGGGUGAGUAAUGCUUAGGAAUCUGCCUAGUAGUGGGGGACAACAUCUCGAAAGGGAUGCUAAUACCGCAUACGUCCUACGGGAGAAAGCAGGGGAGCUUCGGACCUUGCGCUAAUAGAUGAGCCUAAGUCGGAUUAGCUAGUUGGUGGGGUAAAGGCCUACCAAGGCGACGAUCUGUAGCGGGUCUGAGAGGAUGAUCCGCCACACUGGGACUGAGACACGGCCCAGACUCCUACGGGAGGCAGCAGUGGGGAAUAUUGGACAAUGGGGGGAACCCUGAUCCAGCCAUGCCGCGUGUGUGAGGAAGGCCUUAUGGUUGUAAAGCACUUUAAGCGAGGAGGAGGCUACUCUAGUUAAUACCUAGGGAUAGUGGACGUUACUCGCAGAAUAAGCACCGGCUAACUCUGUGCCAGCCGCCGCCGUAA
rnacentral:rRNA from 1 species